AGAGUUUGAUCCUGGCUCAGAUUGAACGCUGGCGGCAUGCCUAACACAUGCAAGUCGAACGGCAGCACAGCAGAGCUUGCUCUGUGGGUGGCGAGUGGCGGACGGGUGAGUAAUGCAUCGGGACCUACCCAGACGUGGGGGAUAACGUAGGGAAACUUACGCUAAUACCGCAUACGUCCUACGGGAGAAAGCAGGGGACCUUCGGGCCUUGCGCGGUUGGACGGACCGAUGUGCGAUUAGCUAGUUGGUAGGGUAAUGGCCUACCAAGGCGACGAUCGCUAGCUGGUCUGAGAGGAUGAUCAGCCACACUGGGACUGAGACACGGCCCAGACUCCUACGGGAGGCAGCAGUGGGGAAUAUUGGACAAUGGGCGCAAGCCUGAUCCAGCAAUGCCGCGUGUGUGAAGAAGGCCCUCGGGUUGUAAAGCACUUUUAUCAGGAACGAAAUACCACGGGUUAAUACCCUAUGGGGCUGACG
rnacentral:rRNA from 1 species